CCUACGGGUAGCAGCAGUGGGGAAUAUUGGACAAUGGGCGAAAGCCUGAUCCAGCCAUGCUGCGUGUGUGAAGAAGGCCUUCGGGUUGUAAAGCACUUUCAGUGGGGAAGAAAGCCUUGGGGCUAAUACCCUCGAGGAAGGACAUCACCCACAGAAGAAGCACCGGCUAACUCCGUGCCAGCAGCCGCGGUAAUACGGAGGGUGCGAGCGUUAAUCGGAAUUACUGGGCGUAAAGCGCGCGUAGGCGGUCUGAUAAGCCGGUUGUGAAAGCCCCGGGCUCAACCUGGGAACGGCAUCCGGAACUGUCAGGCUAGAGUGCAGGAGAGGAAGGUAGAAUUCCCGGUGUAGCGGUGAAAUGCGUAGAGAUCGGGAGGAAUACCAGUGGCGAAGGCGGCCUUCUGGACUGACACUGACGCUGAGGUGCGAAAGCGUGGGUAGCAAACAGGAUUAGAUACCCUAGUAGUC
rnacentral:rRNA from 1 species